GACGAACGCUGGCGGCGUGCUUAACACAUGCAAGUGGAGCGACGAACCGGGGCUUGCCCCGGGGCAGAGCCGCGAACGGGUGAGUAACACGUGGGUAACCUGCCUCAAUGAUUGGGACAACCCGGGGAAACUCGGGCUAAUACCAAAUGUGUUCACUCCUUCCAAGGGGAGUGAGGAAAGGAAGCUUCGGCCUCCGCAUUGAGAUGGGCCCGCGGCCCAUUAGCUUGUGGUGAGGUAACAGCUCACCAAGGCUUCGAUGGGUAGCUGGUCUGAGAGGACGAUCAGCCACACUGGGACUGAGACACGGCCCAGACUCCUACGGGAGGCAGCAGUGGGGAAUCUUGCACAAUGCGCGAAAGCGUGAUGCAGCAACGCCGCGUGGGGGAA
rnacentral:rRNA from 1 species